UGGUAUUAACCCAAUUAAUUAAUACAGGCCUCACCCAAUUUAGAUUAACCAGUCAAAAUAUAGGCUUCAUUACAUAGACAACCCAAUUAAUAAAUGCAAGAUUGUCGAAGUUUUCUUCACACCUGGACUGACAUUCAAAAAGAAACCCUAAUUAGUAACUGCAAUUUCUUCAUACCUGAUUACAAGAAACCCAAUCAACAAUUUCUCAGGAAGAAGAUGAAGAAUUGGGUACUGAUAAAAUAAAAUAAUGAAACGAUUCACCGGUCGAAGUAUUGGCUUUCAAUAUAAAUAGAAACAGGACUUAAAUACAAGAAGACACCUUAAUUAAUAACUUCGAUUUCUUCAUACCUGAUUACAAGAAACCCAAUCAACAAUUUCUCAGGAAGAACAUGAAGAAUUGGGUACUGAUAAAAUAAAUUAAUGAAACGAUUUGGCAUUAAAGACAAAUAGAAACAGACUUAAAUGCAAGAAGAAACUCUAAUUAGUAACUGCGAUUUCAUACCUGAUUACAAGAAACCCAAUCAACAAUUUCUUAGGAAGAAGAUGAAGAAUUGGGUACUGAUAAAAUAAAAAAAUGAAACGAUUCACCGGUCGAAGUAUUGGCAUUAAAUUCAAAUAGAAACAGGACUUAAAUACAAGAAGAAAUUCUAAUUAAUAAACCCAAAAUCUAUUUCUUCAUACCUGAUUAGAAAAUUUAAAUGCGUUGAAUCGUCGAAUUUGGGAAAUUUGGGACUUGUUGCGCCCAGAGAGAGAGGGCUACUGAUCAAUGAGGCAUAAAAUUGGUAAUUUAUAUAUACUUCGAUUCGGUGAACUUCACAAUUUUGACCGUUAGACGGAUCCUUG
rnacentral:lncRNA from 1 species